rnacentral:snRNA from 1 species
GAAUGUGAGUAUGACCCUGCUGUGUCAUUUGUUACCUAUUGAUUGCCAGGGUCUAGUGAGCUGAUCGGCUAGGGAGGUAGGCACCUCUUCUCUCCCUCACAGCUUCAUGUGCUUGCAUUCUGAAGCUCCUUGAUUGGCUGAAGAGGACAGCAGACCUUCUCAAGAGAAGACGGAAUUCUUCAAUCAAGAGUAUAGUACUUGCCACACUCUCCUGGAAUAACCAUCAUAGAUGGUUUUAAAGAGAUGGGAGCAUGAAUCUCAGGAAAGAAAGUUCAAGGAAGU